UACGGAGGAUUCAAGCGUUAUCCGGAUUUAUUGGGUUUAAAGGGUGCGUAGGCGGUCGGAUAAGUUAGAGGUGAAAACCCGAGGCUCAACUUCGGAAUUGCCUCUGAUACUGUUCGGCUAGAGAGUAGUUGCGGUAGGCGGAAUGUAUGGUGUAGCGGUGAAAUGCUUAGAGAUCAUACAGAACACCGAUUGCGAAGGCAGCUUACCAAGCUACUUCUGACGUUGAGGCACGAAAGCGUGGGGAGCAAACAGG
rnacentral:rRNA from 1 species